GACGUAGGGCGCGAGCGUUGUCCGGAUUUAUUGGGCGUAAAGAGCGUGUAGGCGGUCCGGUAAGUCCGCUGUGAAAGUCGGGGGGCUCAACUCUCGAAUGCCGGUGGAUACUGUCGGGCUAGAGUCCGGAAGAGGCGAGUGGAAUUCCCGGUGUAGCGGUGAAAUGCGCAGAUAUCAGGAAGAACACCUAUGGCGAAGGCAGCACUCUGGGACGGUACUGACGCUGAGACGCGAAAGCGUGGGGAGCGAACAGG
rnacentral:rRNA from 1 species